UUAAUAUUAGUUAUGAAAUAUAUUUCAAGAAAUUUUAUAUCUAGUUUUUUAAGAGUUUGAGUAUAAUGAAUAAUUUUUAUAAAGAUUAAUAUGGUUUAGCUUAUUAAUUUUAUAUAUUGUAAUAAUUUUAUGACCUUAGUAAAUUUGAUAGUGUUUAUUUUAUAAAUUUAUAAUAGAGGGUAAUAUGAAUAUAAAUUUUUAUUUAUUAUUUAUUUAUUAAAAAAUUUAUUAAAAUUUUAAAGUUUUAUUUAUAAUGAAAAAAUUAGUAAAAGUUUAUUUAUAUUUAAAAAUAUUUAAUAAGAUAUAUAAUGUUAUAAUUAUUAUAAAAAAUGAAUUCGGCAAAAAUUAUUAUUUGACUGUUUAGCAAAAACAUUGUUUCAUGAAAAAAAUAUGAAAUAAUGUCUGUCCACUGAUAUAUUUGAAGGACUGCAGUAUAUUGACUGUAUAAAAGUAGCAUAAUCAUUAGCUUUUUAAUUUGGGGUUGGUAUGAAGGCGAAACGGAUAAGUUCUUUAUUUUUUAUAAAUAUUUAAAUUUUAUUUUUAAGUGAAAAAUCUUAAUUAAUUGAGAGGGACAAGAAGACCCUAAUAAGUUUUAUUUUUCUUUUAUUUAUGUUAUAGGAAAUAAAAAUUAGAUAAUAUUAAUUUAGAAAUUUAAUUGGGGCGAUUAGUUAUAAAACAUAAUUAAAUUUUAAUUUUU
rnacentral:rRNA from 1 species